GAAUAUACAACUCAGUACUGUGAAGAUGAAGGAGGACGUACGCUAAACCCAAACUACCUCAAAUACUGCCCAGUAAAUUUGAUCUUCAAGAAACGGUGUGACUGCUGUGACUGGACCACAAGUUCCACUACAACCACUUCUGGUACAGUUAAUGGAGGUUCCUGUGCUGGAAAGCGUGAUGGGGUUUACAUCAACCCUAAUAACCCAAAUUCUUUUUACAACUGUGCCAAUGGGAUAACCCACAUCCAAUACUGCCAAACUGGUUUGGUUUUUAGAGAAAGCUGUAAAUGCUGUGAUUACCCUACAGGCACAACUUCUACAGCAGCCACAACUCCCUCAACCACUGCCUCACCCAGUCCUGACACUGGUAAUGGAGGUCCCUGUGCUGGAAAGAUUGAUGGGGCUUACAACAACCCUAAUGACCCAAAUUCUUUUUACAACUGUGCCAAUGGGAUAACCCACAUCCAAAACUGCCAAACUGGUUUGGUUUUUAGAGAAAGCUGUAAAUGCUGUGAUUACCCUACAGGCACAACUUCUACAGCAGCCACAACUCCCUCAACCACUGCUUCACCCAGUUCUGACACUGGUAAUGGAGGUCCCUGUGCUGGAAAGAUUGAUGGGGUUUACACCAACCCUAAUGACCCAAAUUCUUUUUACAACUGUGCCAAUGGGAUAACCCACAUCCAAAACUGCCAAACUGGUUUGGUUUUUAGAGAAAGCUGUAAAUGCUGUGAUUACCCUAGAGGCACAACUUCUACAGCAGCCACAACUCCCUCAACCACUGCUUCACCCAGUCCUGACACUGGUAAUGGAGGUCCCUGUGCUGGAAAGAUUGAUGGGGCUUACAACAACCCUAAUGACCCAAAUUCUUUUUACAACUGUGCCAAUGGGAUAACCCACAUCCAAAACUGCCAAACUGGUUUGGUUUUUAGAGAAAGCUGUAAAUGCUGUGAUUACCCUACAGGCACAACUUCUACAGCAGCCACAACUCCCUCAACCACUGCUUCACCCAGUCCUGACACUGGUAAUGGAGGUCCCUGUGCUGGAAAGAGUGAUGGGGUUUACACCAACCCUAAUGACCCAAAUUCUUUUUACAACUGUGCCAAUGGGAUAACCCACAUCCAAUACUGCCAAACUGGUUUGGUUUUUAGAGAAAGCUGUAAAUGCUGUGAUUACCCUACAGGCACAACUUCUACAGCAGCCACAACUCCCUCAACCACUGCCUCACCCAGUCCUGACACUGGUAAUGGAGGUCCCUGUGCUGGAAAGAUUGAUGGGGCUUACAACAACCCUAAUGACCCAAAUUCUUUUUACAACUGUGCCAAUGGGAUAACCCACAUCCAAAACUGCCAAACUGGUUUGGUUUUUAGAGAAAGCUGUAAAUGCUGUGAUUACCCUAGAGGCACAACUUCUACAGCAGCCACAACUCCCUCAACCACUGCUUCACCCAGUCCUGACACUGGUAAUGGAGGUCCCUGUGCUGGAAAGAUUGAUGGGGCUUACAACAACCCUAAUGACCCAAAUUCUUUUUACAACUGUGCCAAUGGGAUAACCCACAUCCAAAACUGCCAAACUGGUUUGGUUUUUAGAGAAAGCUGUAAAUGCUGUGAUUACCCUACAGGCACAACUUCUACAGCAGCCACAACUCCCUCAACCACUGCUUCACCCAGUCCUGACACUGGUAAUGGAGGUCCCUGUGCUGGAAAGAGUGAUGGGGUUUACACCAACCCUAAUGACCCAAAUUCUUUUUACAACUGUGCCAAUGGGAUAACCCACAUCCAAAACUGCCAAACUGGUUUGGUUUUUAGAGAAAGCUGUAAAUGCUGUGAUUACCCUACAGGCACAACUUCUACAGCAGCCACAACUCCCUCAACCACUGCUUCACCCAGUUCUGACACUGGUAAUGGAGGUCCCUGUGCUGGAAAGAGUGAUGGGGUUUACAUCAACCCUAAUGACCCAAAUUCUUUUUACAACUGUGCCAAUGGGAUAACCCACAUCCAAAACUGCCAAACUGGUUUGGUUUUUAGAGAAAGCUGUAAAUGCUGUGAUUACCCUAGAGGCACAACUUCUACAGCAGCCACAACUCCCUCAACCACUGCUUCAUCCAGUCCUGACACUGGUAAUGGAGGUCCCUGUGCUGGAAAGAUUGAUGGGGCUUACAACAACCCUAAUGACCCAAAUUCUUUUUACAACUGUGCCAAUGGGAUAACCCACAUCCAAAACUGCCAAACUGGUUUGGUUUUUAGAGAAAGCUGUAAAUGCUGUGAUUACCCUACAGGCACAACUUCUACAGUAGCCACAACUCCCUCAACCACUGCCUCACCCAGUCCUGACACUGGUAAUGGAGGUCCCUGUGCUGGAAAGAGUGAUGGGGCUUACAACAACCCUAAUGACCCAAAUUCUUUUUACAACUGUGCCAAUGGGAUAACCCACAUCCAAUACUGCCAACCAGGUUUGGUCUUUAGAGAAAGCUGUAAAUGCUGUGAUUACACUACAGGCAUGACUUCUACAACCACCACAGCUCCCACUACCACUACAACUCCCACUACAACCACCACAACUCCCACUACAACCACCACAACUCCCACUACAACCACCACAACUCCCACUACAACCACCAGAAUUCCCACGACAACCACCAGAGCUUGCAAUACAAAAACCAGAGGUUCGACUACAACCACCACAACUCCCACUACGACCACCACAGCUCCCACUACCACUGAAACUACAACUACAACCACCACAACUCCCACUACAACCACCACAACUCCCACUACAACCACCACAACUCCCACUACAACCACCACAACUCCCUCAACUCCUUCAACCAAUUCUGGUACAGCUAGUGGAGGUACCUGUGCUGGAAAGAGUGAUGGGGUUUACAACAACCCUAAUGACCCAAAUUCUUUUUACAACUGUGCCAAUGGGAUAACCCACAUCCAAUACUGCCAACCAGGUUUGGUCUUCAAGAAAAGUUGCAAUUGCUGUGAUUAUCCCUAA
ensembl:lncRNA